rnacentral:rRNA from 1 species
UACGAAGGGGGCUAGCGUUGCUCGGAAUCACUGGGCGUAAAGCGCACGUAGGCGGACUCUUAAGUCGGUGGUGAAAUCCUGGAGCUCAACUCCAGAACUGCCUCCGAUACUGGGAGCCUUCGAGUCCGGGAGAGGUGAGUGGAACUGCGAGUGUAGAGGUGAAAUUCGUAGAUAUUCGGAAGAACACCAGUGGCGAAGGCGGCUCACUGGUCCGGUACUGACGCUGAGGUGCGAAAGCGUGGGGAGCAAACAGG